rnacentral:lncRNA from 10 species
UCCUGUCUUCUUAUAUUAAUAAGAAAAAUAAAGCGAAAUAGUGGUAAAGUGUUGGGAUGGCGAAAAUUUUUGGGGAUGGUAUGGAGAGAUAAUGGGCGAUGUUUCUCAGGGCUGCUUUGAGCGGGAUUAGGGGCAGCUUGGGAACCUAGAGUGGAAGAGAUUAAGGUGAAGGAAGAUUCUGUGGUAAGGGGUGAUAUUGUGGGGUUGUUAGAAGAAACAUUUGUCAUUUAGAAUUAUUAGUGAUGGCCUGGAUACAGUUUUGUAUAAAUUAAAAACUAAACGGAAUAAGAGAAGAAGAAAAACAGGUAUUAAAGGACUAAGAAUUGGGAGGACCCAGGACAUCUAAUUAGAGAGUGCCUAAGGAGGUUCAGCAUAGCCUUGCCAGUAAAGAUUAUUUAUUCACUUUAAGAGUUAAGAGUGGUGGUUUGGGGAUAGCACCAGGAGAUAUCAGCUGUGAUGGCUUGGAGAAACAGUGUAAACUGGCAGUGUAAACAAGAGCAGGGCAUGUAUGAGUAGUUGAGAAUGGUGAAUAGGAGUAUGACUAGACAGAAGAUAGUAGGGAUGACAAGUUUUUUGGGGGCACAGUCUAAGUUGGUCUGGUGUCUGGAAUGAGACUGGGGCCUAAUAAAAAGGAGCAUCUAUACAGGAGCUCAAAUGGGCUGUACCCUGUAGCAUUCUGAGGACAGGUCUGACCUCUGAGAAGGGAAAGUGGUACAAGUAUUGUCCAGUCCUUUUUAAGUUGGUGGCUGAGCUUGGUGAGGUGUGUUUUUAAGAGACCUUUAGUCUGUUCUACUUUUCCUGAAGACGGAGGACUGUAAGGGAUAUAAAGGUUUCACUGAAUACUAAGAGCCUGAAAAACUGCUUGGCUGAUUUGAGUAAUAAAGGCUGGUCUGUUAUCAGACUGUAUAGGGGUGGGAAGGCUAAACUGAGGAAUUAUGUCUGAUAGAAGGGAAGAAAUGACUGUGCUGGCCUUCUCAGACCCUGUAGGAAAGGCCUCUACCUAUCCAGUGAAACUGUCUACCUAGACUAAGAGGUAUUUUAGUUAUCUGACUCAGGGCAUGUUGAGUAAAGCUAAUUUGCCAGUCGUGGGUGGGGGCAAAUCCUCGAGCUUGAUGUGUAGGGAAGGGAGGGGGCCUGAAUAAUCCCUGAGGAGUAGUAGAACAGCAGAUGGAACACUGAGAAGUUAUUUCCUUGAGGACAGAUUUCCACGAUGGAAAGGAAAUGAGAGGUUCUAAGAGGCGGGCUAGUGGCUUGUACUAUAGCAUAGCCUGCCUUUGCUGGUGUGUGGUGAUUAUGCCUGGUGGAACCGCCAUCAAUAAAUCAAGCGUGAUCAGGAUGAGGAACAGGAAAGAAGGAAAUAUGAGGAAAUGGGGUGAAUGUUAGGUGGAUCAAAGAGAUACAGUCAUGUGGGUCAGGUGUGGUAUCAGGAAUAAUGUGGGAGGCCGGAUUGAAGUCUGGGCCAGGAACAAUGGUAAUUUUGGGACUUAACAAAGAGUGAGUACAGCUGAAGGAUCCAGGGAGCAGAAAGUAUAUGCGUCAGGUAUGAGGAAGAAAAUAGAUUUUGGAAGUUAUAAGAAAUGUAGAGAAUAAGUUGAGCAUAGUUUGUGAUUUUGAGGGCCUCUAAAAGUAUUAGGGCAGCAGCAGCCGCUGCACGGAGACAUGAGGGCUAGGCUAAAACAGUAAGGUCAAGUUGUUUGCACAGAAAGGCUACAGGGUGCGGUCCUGGCUCUUGUGUAAGAAUUCUGACCACACUAACCAUGCCUAGGAAGGAAAGGAGUUGUUGUUUUGUAAGGGAUUGAGGUUUGGGAGAUUAAUCGGACACGAUCAGCAGGGAGAGCACGUGUGUUUUUAUGAGAAUUAUGCCGAGAUAGGUAACAGAUGAGGAUGAAAUUUGGGCUUGACUGAAGUAAUGGGGGCUGUCUGUGAAGCCUUGCGGCAGUACAGCCCACGUAAUUUGCUGAGCCUAAUGGGUGUCAGGGUCAGUCCAAGUGAAAGCGAAGAGAGGAUGGGAUGACGGGUGCAAAGGAAUAGUAAAUAAAGCAUGUUUGAGAUCCAGAACAGAAUAAUGGAUUGUGGAGGGAGGUAUUGAGGAUAGGAGAGUAUAUGGGUUUGGCACCAUGGGGUGGAUAGGCAAAACAAUUUGGUUGAUAAGGCACAGAUCCUGAACUAACUUGUCAGGUUUGUCUGGUUUUAGGACAGGUAAAAUGGGGGAAUUGUAAGGAGAGUUUAUAGGCUUUAAAAGGCCAUGCUAUAGCAGGCGAGUGAUAGCAGGCUUUAAUCCUUUCAAAGCAUGCUAUGGGAUGGGAUAUUGGCAUUGAGCGGGGUAAGGGUGAUUAGGUUUUACUGAGAUGGUAAGGGGUGCAUGAUCGGUCGCCAAGGAGGGAGUAGAGGUAUCUUAUACUUGUGGGUUAAGGUGGGGGAAUACAAGAAGAGGACGCAAAGGAGGCUUUGGAUUGGGAAGAAGGGUGGCAAUGAGAUGUAGCUGUAAUCCAGGAAUAGUCAGGGAAGCAGAUAAUUUAGUUAAAGUGUCUCGGCCUAAUAAGGGAACUGGGCAGGUGGGGAUAACUAAAAAGGAGUGCUUAAAAGAGUAUUGUCUAAGUUAGCACCAGAGUUGGGGAGUUUUAAGAGGUUUAGAAGCUUGGCUGUCAAUACCCACAACAGUUAUGGAGGCAACGGAAACAGGCCCUUGAAAAGAAGGUAAUGUGGAGUGGGUAGCCUCCGUAUUGAUUAAGAAGGGGACGGACUUACCCUCCACUGUGAGAGUUACCUAAAGCUCGGCGUCCGUGAUGGUCUACGGGGCUUCCGAGGCGAUCGGGCAGUGUCAGUCUUUAGCCGCUAAGCCGAGAAGGAGUCAGAGAGCCUUGGGCCAGAGUUCCACGGGCUCUGUGAGUGGCUGCCAGGUGAGUUGAACAGUCCGAUUUCCAGUGGGGUCCUGCACAGAUGGGACACGGCUUAGGAGGAAUCCUGGGCUGCAGGCAUUCCUUGGCUUGGUGGUCAGAUUUCUGGCACUUGUAGCGAGCUCCUGGGGAGGAGGUUCUGGAGGAACGCCUGGCCGCUGCGGUUCAGGCGUUUGGAAGUUCUUGUGUGCUGGAGAUGUGGCUGGGGUUUGUCUCACAGUGGAGACAAGGAAUUGCAACUUUUUUCUAUUGUUGUACACCUUGAAGGCGAGGUUAAUUAAAUCCUGGUGUGGGGUUUGAGGGCCAGAAUUUAAUUUUUGGAGUUUUAUUUAAUGUCGGGAGCAGAUUGGGUAAUAAAAUGUAUAUUGAGAAUAGGACGGCCUUUUGACCUUUUAGGGUGUAGGGCUGUAAAGCGUCUCAGGGUUGCUGCCGAACGAGCCAUGAACUGGGCUGGGUUUUUUAUAUUUGAUGAAAAAGAGCCUAAAUGUUAUCUGAUUUGGGAUAAAGAAAAAGGAGCAUUAAACCUUGACUAUGCCUUUAGCUCUAGUCACCUUUUUAAGAGCAAAUUGCUGGGCAGGUAGGGGAGGGCUAGUCACGGAAUGAAACUAAGCCAGACCAACUAAGCCAGAGCGGGUGUGAGGAGGGGAGGUGAUAAAAGGAUUAUAGGGUGGAGGAGCGGAGGCUGAGGAAGAAUUGGGAUCUAGCUCGGCCUGGCGAGGAGCAGCCUGGGGAGGAGGGGAGAGGUCAGAUGGGUCUGUAGAAAAGGAAGAUUAGAAAGACUCAGUGACGCUUGGGGUUGGGACUGAGGGGACAGGUGGGAGGGAAAGAAGGAAGAUUUGGGAUGAGUUGCAUUGGGAACAGAGACUAGAGAGGGACCGACGUGUAAAAGAAUGCCUGGAUGUCAGGCACCUCAGACCAUUUGCCCAUUUUAUGACAAGAAUUAUUUAGAUCUUGUAGGAUGGAAAAAUUGAAAGUGCCAUUUUCUGGCUAUUUGGAACUACUGUCGAGUUUGUAUUGGGGUCAAGCGGCAUUGCAGAAGAAAAUAAGAUGCUUAGAUUUUAGGUCAGGUGAGAGUUGAAGAGGUUUUAAGUUCUUAAGAACACAGGCUAAGGGAGAAGAAGGAGGAAUGGAAGGUGGAAGCUUGCCCAUAGUAAAGGAGGCAAGCCCAGAGAAAACAGUAGAGACACGGAGAAGGGGUGGGGAGUUCUUGCCCUCCAGAAAAGCAGAGAAGGGGUUGGGGCACAAAGGUGCAGAGAUAUAAGAGGUUGGGGCGCGGAAAUAAGGGAUUGGGGUGCAGAGAUAUAAGAGGUUGGGGCAUGGAAAUAAGGGAUCGGGGCACAGAGAUAUAAGGGGUUGGGGUGGGGAAAUAAGGGAUGGGGCGCAGAGAUAUAAGGGGUUGGGGUAUUUGCCUCUCCCCUAGAAAAGCGGGACUUGCCGCUAAGGGUGAAGGAGAAGGGGUUGGGGGUUUCUUGCCCCCCAGAAAGGUGAAGAAGGGGUAGAGACAUGGAGAGAAGGGGUUGGGGUAUUGCCCCUUCCCCAGAAAAGCGGGACUUGCUGCUAAGGGUGAAGGACCAAGACAGGCGUCCCUGCAUGGUCUGACACCUCUGAAACUUGGGUGAAUAAUCAGGCAUCCCUGCAAUGAUUAAACACCAAGGGAAGGCUGCCUUCCCUAGUCCGUGACCGACACCGGAGUUUUGGGUCCACAGAUAAAACGUGUCUCCUUCGUCUCUACCAGAAAAUGAAAGGAAUUGAAAUUAAGAGAAGGGAAAGAUUGAAGAGUGGAAAGGAGAAAGUGGUUGAGGGACAGUGAGAGAGCUUGGAGAAGAGAGUAAGAAGAGGCCGCUUACCCGAUUUAAAAUUGGUGAGAUGUUCCUUGGGCUGGUCGGUCUGAGGACCUGAGGUCGUAGGUGGAUCUUUCCCAUGGAGCAAAGAACAGGAGGACAGGGGAUUGAUCUCCCAAGGGAGGUCCCCCAAUCCGAGUCACAGCACCAAAUUUCAUGUGCGUCUGUGUAAAGAGACCACCAAACAGGCUUUGUGUGAGCAAUAAAGCUUUUAAUCACCUGGGUGCACGCGGGCUGAGUCCGAAAAGAGAGUCAGCAAAGGCAGAUAGGGGUGGGGCCGUUUUAUAAGAUUUGGGUAGGUAAAGGAAAAUUACAGUCAAAGGGGGUUGUUCUCUGGCGGGCAGGAGUGGGGGUCACAAGGUACUCAGUGGGGGAGCUUUUGAGCCAGGAUGAGCCAGGAGAAGGAAUUUCACAAGACAAUGUCAUCAGUUAAGGCAGGAACAGGCCAUUUUCACUUUUUUUGUGGUGGAAUGUCAUCAGUUAAGGCAGGAACCCACCAUCUGGAUGUGUACGUGCAGGUCACAGGGGACAUGAUGGCUCAGCUUGGGCUCAGAGGCCUGACAAAGACAACUGCUUUUCUUCCAGGGCUGAUGAGAGACCCAAAGGAUAAAUAGAGCUUAAAGCAAGUUGGAAGCCGUAGACCAUUAUGCAGAUGCCAUAUAUUAUUACUUCUUUACAGUUGGGUUGGUUACUAGAGGACUCACCAGCCCCAGCACCCAGAUCUCAUGCCUCCUAGCCUUCAUGGUUUCCAGAGACAUUCUGAAUAGCCACGGGCCGGCUGGUGCUGACAACUUGGUGUAUUCUGGCCAAUGGGGGAGGGAGCUGAACGAAGGGAUGUGGGCAGGGAGCCAUAGUUCUUCCUGCCAAAGCAGAAUCUUUGCCUAAUUUCCCCAUGACAGUCCUACGUCCAUGAAGAACUGAGGAGAAUGACAUCAGUAAGUCUUACACUCGAGUUUUCUGUCAGAGCAGGUGCAACUUCAAAACUGCUUCCGCCCUCAGGACCAGGCAUUUCCUAAACACCCCUCCUCCUUCACUUCUCUUCUCACUGCUGCCUGUGGCUGAGGUAUUCUUAAUGACAAGCCAUCGAGUCCAUGAUAAUCAGCUGAGGAGUGAUUCUCAUUAGAUUUCAGGGAAGGAAAAGGCUCAGGCCAUGACUGAAGGAUGGAAAAUAAGAAGGAAUAUAGCUAACCUGGCCUCUUCACCUGACUCUACUUAGAGUCCAUCUUGACAAGCAGAUUGGAGUCAUGACAGUUCAGACCUGAAAUGCUGGUUUUUAUUUAAAGGAGACAGGUGGGAAGAGGGGGAUGGGAAUAACAACACAGCCAUUUGCUGCAUAACUAAUUACCAAAAAUUAACAGCUUAAAACUUAAAACAGCUCCCAUAGACCAGGAGUCCAGGUUCAGUGUCUCGCAGACUAUAAUCAGGGAGGGUCUAGCGUCCCAUCUGAGGCUCAGAGGGGCAGGGGCGGGGCGGGGGGUGGUGGUGGUGGUGAUGGUGGUGGUGGUCUUCCAAGCACACGUGGUUGUUGUCAGAAUUGAUUUCCUUGCAGCUGUAGAACUGAAGCAUCUUGCCUCUUCAAGGCUAACAGGAAAGAGUGAGUCUCUGACUCUAGGCUUCUUACUUGACAUUCUCCAGGAACUCACCUGAUUAGGUCAGGCCCACCCAGGAUUAUCUCCCUUUUCAUUAACUUCACCUCAACUGCAGGAUUUCUUCACCUUUACUAUAUUCUACUUUUCAGAAGCAAGUUAUACAUCCCUCCCACAACUGAAGGGGAGAGGAUGACACAAAGAUGUGGAUACCAGGCAAAGAAAUCAUAGAGGCCAUUUAAAAAUUCUACCUACUACAUCCUCCGUUUGCUGAGCUCCAUGUGUGUGUUGCAGGACUUUCUCCUUAGUUCAGCUAAAGACGGGGUCCUUGUCAAACAUCCAUGAAAUAUUAGGCUUGCAGACACUUUGAAGGGUGAGAAAAAUGGUAUUUAUUGGGCGAAAAGGGAAAAAAAAAAAGGAAAAACAGAGACUCUCCGGAAAGCCAGAGUCCUGCUACUGCACUUCCUGCCUGGCGAACUGAAUCCCAGGUUCCACCCAGGAAGAGGGCGGCAGGCUCCUCCCCACUGCAAACCACGCGAACCUCCCAAGGCUCCACCCCAGCGUGCAUUCCUCCCAGUGUGCAGGUCAGGGAGGCUCUGCCAGGGAGCACUUCCUACCUGGCUGUCUCAUGUGGGGUGUGUGUUUGUGUGUGUAACAGAAAUCAACUUGUUCCGACUCACCUUAGCAAAAUCAGGGGGAUUGGUUUUAAGGAAACGAUGUCUUGUGGACCCAGGAUACAAAUGCAGCCUGACCUGUGGAAGGACAGGAGUUAGGUUAUUGUCUCCCUGUCCCCUGGCUCCAAGUGCAUUGCAUCAUGAAAGGAAACUGUCACUCUUUUCAGCAUUGGCUGUUCUGACUUGGUAUUUUACUGCAUGGUGAUCUGAUGCUGUUGGGGAGACAGGCAUGUGGAGCAUUUUAAGCCACGAAGGAAGGUAUGUGAACUAAAUCCACAACUCACCUCUUAGGAACAACUGCCUGAGGAUAGGGUUCUUUCAGAAAACAUAAGCUCUGGUGACAAAUUCACUCAACUGAUUGCUGCACCUUGUUUUAGAAAAUGCUUCUAGAGGUAGCAAAAUAAUUCACAUGAGGAUUUAUGAAGAUGUACUUCAUCCUUGAUUUGGGAAGAGGUGAGAGAGACGAUGUCCACCUACCACGGUUCACCCAUGUGAACUUUCUUGUUACUCCUACUGUGUCAUCCAGUCACUGAGCAAAGUCCUGGGCACACUUCAUUAAA